rnacentral:rRNA from 1 species
UGCGGGGGGGGCAAGCGUUGUUCGGAAUUACUGGGCGUAAAGGGCGCGUAGGCGGCCUUCUAAGUCAGACGUGAAAUCCCUCGGCUCAACCGAGGAACUGCGUCUGAUACUGGAAGGCUUGAAUCCGGGAGAGGGAUGUGGAAUUCCAGGUGUAGCGGUGAAAUGCGUAGAUAUCUGGAGGAACACCGGUGGCGAAGGCGGCAUCCUGGACCGGUAUUGACGCUGAGGCGCGAAAGCUAGGGGAGCAAACGGG